rnacentral:rRNA from 1 species
AUGAACGCUAGCUACAGGCUUAACACAUGCAAGUCGAGGGGCAGCAUGAACUUAGCUUGCUAAGUUUGAUGGCGACCGGCGCACGGGUGAGUAACACGUAUCCAACCUUCCGUUUACUCAGGGAUAGCCUUUCGAAAGAAAGAUUAAUACCUGAUAGUAUGGUGAGAUUGCAUGAUAACACCAUUAAAGAUUUAUUGGUAAACGAUGGGGAUGCGUUCCAUUAGGUAGUAGGCGGGGUAACGGCCCACCUAGCCGACGAUGGAUAGGGGUUCUGAGAGGAAGGUCCCCCACAUUGGAACUGAGACACGGUCCAAACUCCUACGGGAGGCAGCAGUGAGGAAUAUUGGUCAAUGGGCGAGAGCCUGAACCAGCCAAGUAGCGUGAAGGAUGAAGGUCCUACGGAUUGUAAACUUCUUUUAUACGGGAAUAAAGUAUCCUACGUGUAGGAUUUUGUAUGUACCGUAUGAAUAAGCAUCGGCUAACUCCGUGCCAGCAGCCGCGGUAAUACGGAGGAUGCGAGCGUUAUCCGGAUUUAUUGGGUUUAAAGGGAGCGCAGACGGGAGAUUAAGUCAGUUGUGAAAGUUUGCGGCUCAACCGUAAAAUUGCAGUUGAUACUGGUUUCCUUGAGUGCAGUUGAGGCAGGCGGAAUUCGUGGUGUAGCGGUGAAAUGCUUAGAUAUCACGAAGAACCCCGAUUGCGAAGGCAGCUUGCUAAACUGUAACUGACGUUCAUGCUCGAAAGUGUGGGUAUCAAACAGGAUUAGAUACCCUGGUAGUCCACACGGUAAACGAUGGAUACUCGCUGUUGGCGAUAUACUGUCAGCGGCCAAGCGAAAGCAUUAAGUAUCCCACCUGGGGAGUACGCCGGCAACGGUGAAACUCAAAGGAAUUGACGGGGACCCGCACAAGCGGUGGAGCAUGUGGUUUAAUUCGAAGCAACGCGAAGAACCUUACCUAAACUUGACAUCGAUCUGACAAUCUGUGUAAUGCAGACUCUCUUCGGAGCAGAGAAGACAGGUGGUGCAUGGUUGUCGUCAGCUCGUGCCGUGAGGUGUCGGCUUAAGUGCCAUAACGAGCGCAACCCUCGUGGUCAGUUACUAACAGGUUAAGCUGAGGACUCUGGCCAGACUGCCAUCGUAAGAUGUGAGGAAGGUGGGGAUGACGUCAAAUCAGCACGGCCCUUACGUCCGGGGCUACACACGUGUUACAAUGGGAGGUACAGAAGGCCGCUACCCGGCGACGGGAUGCCAAUCCCCAAAACCUCUCUCAGUUCGGACUGGAGUCUGCAACCCGACUCCACGAAGCUGGAUUCGCUAGUAAUCGCGCAUCAGCCACGGCGCGGUGAAUACGUUCCCGGGCCUUGUACACACCGCCCGUCAAGCCAUGAAAGCCGGGGGUACCUGAAGUGCGUAACCGCAAGGAGCGCCCUAGGGUAAAACCGGUAAUUGGGGCU